CCCUUCGGGGACAUCCGAUAAAAUUGGAACGAUACAGAGAAGAUUAGCAUGGCCCCUGCGCAAGGAUGACACGCAUAAAUCGAGAAAUGGUCCAAAUUUUUUUGCUCUCUUUUCUGCCAAAUUUUUUUUUGCCCUCUCCACGUUUCCCACAAUCCCAAGGGCAAAGCUGUAGUUGAAUGUAGUUACAGAGGCUUUAGAAGCUAUACGAACUAUGAGGAUUUUGCAUUUGAAGUCUUCGAUGGUUCGGUGGCUUAGUCUUUGAUCUUCCAGGCCCCUUGAGCUCUCAAGCUUGCACUCAUGAAUCUUUCGAAAGUCCAUACUGUCCGUUACUUCGAAAACCAUGAAGCUGAU